rnacentral:rRNA from 1 species
GAUGAACGCUAGCGGUAUGCUUUACGCAUGCAAGUUGAACGGAAAUUUAAAAAAUUUUAGUGGCGAACGGGUGAGUAAUGCGUGAGAAUUCACCUUUAGGAGGGGAACACCAAUUAGAAAUAAUUGUUAAUGCCCCAUAUUGCUUUUAAAGUGAAAUAGAAUUUAUCUGCCUAAAGAGAAGCUCACGUCUGAUUAACUUGUUGGUAAGGUAAUAGCUUACCAAGGUGAUGAUCAGUAGUUGGUUUGAGAGAAUGAUCAGCCACACUGGAACUGAGAAACGGUCCAG